rnacentral:rRNA from 1 species
AACGAACGCUGGCGGCGUGCCUAACACAUGCAAGUCGAACGAAACGUUCCGGUUUAGGGGCGCACGGGUGCGUAAGGCGUGGGAACCUGCCUGUGGGUACGGAAUAACUCAGAGAAAUUUGAGCUAAUAACGGAUGAUGUCUUAGGACCAAAGAUUUAUGGCGGUUAGAUGGGCCCUCGUUGGAUUCGGUAGUUGGUGGGGGAAAGGCCGACCAAGGCGACGAUCCAUAGCUGGUCGGAGAGGAUGAUCAUCCACACUAGGGAUGAGACACGGCCCAGACUCCUACGGGAGGCAGCAGAGGGGAAUAUUGGACAAUGGGCGAAAGCAUGAUCCAGCAAUGCCGCGUGAGUGAUGAAGGCCUUAGGGUUGUAAAGCUCUUUUACCCGAGAUGAUAAUGACAGUAUCGGGAGAAUAAGCACCGGCUAACUACGUG